CCUACGGGAGGCAGCAGUGAGGAAUAUUGGUCAAUGGCCGGAAGGCUGAACCAGCCAAGCCGCGUGAAGGACGAAGGUGCCAAGCAUUGUAAACUUCUUUUGUCAAGGGACAAAAUCAGGCUCGAGAGCCUGACCGAGGGUACUUGAAGAAAAAGCAUCGGCUAACACCGUGCCAGCAGCCGCGGUAAUACGGAGGAUGUGAGCGUUAUCCGGAUUGAUUGGGGUAAAAGGGUGCGUAGGCGGGCUGUUAAUUGAGUGGUAAAAGCCCGGGGCUCAACCCCGGCGAGCCGUUGAAACUGGGUGUCUUGAGAUGUCGAGAGGUAUGCGGAAUGCGUAGUGUAGCGGUGAAAUGCUUAGAUAUUGCGCAGAACUCCGGUUGCGAAGGCAGCAUACCGGCGGCGAUCUGACGCUGAGGCACGAAAGCGUGGGUAUCGAACAGGAUUAGAUACCCCAGUAGUC
rnacentral:rRNA from 1 species